GCAAGACCGGUGCCAGCCGCCGCGGUAACACCGGCGGCUCGAGUGGUAACCGUUAUUAUUGGGUCUAAAGGGUCUGUAGCCGGCCGGAUAAGUCUCUUGAGAAAUCUGGCAGCUUAACUGUCAGGCUUUCAGGAGAUACUGUCUGGCUCGAGGCCGGGAGAGGUGAGAGGUACUUCAGGGGUAGGGGUGAAAUCUUGUAAUCCUUGAAGGACCACCAGUGGCGAAGGCGUCUCACCAGAACGGACCUGACGGCAAGGGACGAAAGCUAGGGGCACGAACCGGAUUAGAUACCCGGGUAGUCCUAGCCGUAAACGAUACUCGCUAGGUGUCGGCCACGGUGCGACCGUUGUCGGUGCCGUAGGGAAGCCGUGAAGCGAGC
rnacentral:rRNA from 1 species